rnacentral:rRNA from 1 species
AACUUCGGUUCUCUGGCUGGCGACCGGCGGACGGGUGCGUAACACGUAGCUACUUGCCCCACAGUGGGGGAUAACCCGGGGAAACCCGGGCUAAUACCGCAUACACCCGAGAGGGGAAAGCCGUAAGGCGCUGUGGGAUAGGGCUGCGGCGUAUCAGGUAGUUGGUGGGGUAACGGCCUACCAAGCCGAUGACGCGUAGCUGGUCUGAGAGGAUGAUCAGCCACACUGGAACUGAGACACGGUCCAGACUCCUACGGGAGGCAGCAGUGGGGAAUCUUGGGCAAUGGGGGAAACCCUGACCCAGCAACGCCGCGUGGAGGAAGACGCCCUUCGGGGUGUAAACUCCUUUUGCAGGGGAAGAGAGAGACGGUACCCUGCGAAUAAGCUCCGGCUAACUCCGUGCCAGCAGCCGCGGUAAUACGGGGGGAGCGAGCGUUACUCGGAAUCACUGGGCGUAAAGGGUGCGUAGGCGGCUUAGUAAGUUGGGAGUGAAAUCCCACGGCUCAACCGUGGAACUGCUUCCAAAACUGCCAAGCUAGAGUCCGGGAGAGGCCGAGGGAAUUCCUGGUGUA